rnacentral:tRNA from 1 species
UCCGCGAUAUCUCAGUUGGUAGAGCAUCUGCCCGGUAAGCGGAGUGUCACCGGUUCGACUCCGGUUCGCGGCU